rnacentral:rRNA from 1 species
UACGUAGGGGGCAAGCGUUGUCCGGAAUUAUUGGGCGUAAAGCGCGUGUAGGCGGUCCGGUAAGUCCGCUGUGAAAGUCGGGGGCUCAACCCUGGGAUGCCGGUGGAUACUGUCGGGCUAGAGUGCGGAAGAGGCGAGUGGAAUUCCUGGUGUAGCGGUGAAAUGCGUAGAUAUCGUAAGGAAGACCAGUGGCGAAGGCGGGUCUCUGGACAGUUCCUGACGCUGAGGCACGAAGGCCAGGGGAGCAAACGGGG